rnacentral:rRNA from 1 species
CCGAGGAAAAGAAAUCAACCGAGAUUCCCCCAGUAGCGGCGAGCGAACGGGGAGCAGCCCAGAGCCUGAAUCAGUGUGUGUGUUAGUGGAAGCGUCUGGAAAGGCGUGCGAUACAGGGUGACAGCCCCGUACACAAAAAUGCACAUACUGUGAGCUCGAUGAGUAGGGCGGGACACGUGGUAUCCUGUCUGAAUAUGGGGGGACCAUCCUCCAAGGCUAAAUACUCCUGACUGACCGAUAGUGAACCAGUACCGUGAGGGAAAGGCGAAAAGAACCCCGGCGAGGGGAGUGAAAAAGAACCUGAAACCGUGUACGUACAAGCAGUGGGAGCACGCUUAGGCGUGUGACUGCGUACCUUUUGUAUAAUGGGUCAGCGACUUAUAUUCUGUAGCAAGGUUAACCGAAUAGGGGAGCCGAAGGGAAACCGAGUCUUAACUGGGCGUUAAGUUGCAGGGUAUAGACCCGAAACCCGGUGAUCUAGCCAUGGGCAGGUUGAAGGUUGGGUAACACUAACUGGAGGACCGAACCGACUAAUGUUGAAAAAUUAGCGGAUGACUUGUGGCUGGGGGUGAAAGGCCAAUCAAACCGGGAGAUAGCUGGUUCUCCCCGAAAGCUAUUUAGGUAGCGCCUCGUGAAUUCAUCUCCGGGGGUAGAGCACUGUUUCGGCAAGGGGGUCAUCCCGACUUACCAACCCGAUGCAAACUGCGAAUACCGGAGAAUGUUAUCACGGGAGACACACGGCGGGUGCUAACGUCCGUCGUGAAGAGGGAAACAACCCAGACCGCCAGCUAAGGUCCCAAAGUCAUGGUUAAGUGGGAAACGAUGUGGGAAGGCCCAGACAGCCAGGAUGUUGGCUUAGAAGCAGCCAUCAUUUAAAGAAAGCGUAAUAGCUCACUGGUCGAGUCGGCCUGCGCGGAAGAUGUAACGGGGCUAAACCAUGCACCGAAGCUGCGGCAGCGACGCUUAUGCGUUGUUGGGUAGGGGAGCGUUCUGUAAGCCUGUGAAGGUGUGCUGUGAGGUAUGCUGGAGGUAUCAGAAGUGCGAAUGCUGACAUAAGUAACGAUAAAGCGGGUGAAAAGCCCGCUCGCCGGAAGACCAAGGGUUCCUGUCCAACGUUAAUCGGGGCAGGGUGAGUCGACCCCUAAGGCGAGGCCGAAAGGCGUAGUCGAUGGGAAACAGGUUAAUAUUCCUGUACUUGGUGUUACUGCGAAGGGGGGACGGAGAAGGCUAUGUUGGCCGGGCGACGGUUGUCCCGGUUUAAGCGUGUAGGCUGGUUUUCCAGGCAAAUCCGGAAAAUCAAGGCCGAGGCGUGAUGACGAGGCACUACGGUGCUGAAGCAACAAAUGCCCUGCUUCCAGGAAAAGCCUCUAAGCAUCAGGUAACAUCAAAUCGUACCCCAAACCGACACAGGUGGUCAGGUAGAGAAUACCAAGGCGCUUGAGAGAACUCGGGUGAAGGAACUAGGCAAAAUGGUGCCGUAACUUCGGGAGAAGGCACGCUGAUACGUAGGUGAAGCGACUUGCUCGUGGAGCUGAAAUCAGUCGAAGAUACCAGCUGGCUGCAACUGUUUAUUAAAAACACAGCACUGUGCAAACACGAAAGUGGACGUAUACGGUGUGACGCCUGCCCGGUGCCGGAAGGUUAAUUGAUGGGGUUAGCGCAAGCGAAGCUCUUGAUCGAAGCCCCGGUAAACGGCGGCCGUAACUAUAACGGUCCUAAGGUAGCGAAAUUCCUUGUCGGGUAAGUUCCGACCUGCACGAAUGGCGUAAUGAUGGCCAGGCUGUCUCCACCCGAGACUCAGUGAAAUUGAACUCGCUGUGAAGAUGCAGUGUACCCGCGGCAAGACGGAAAGACCCCGUGAACCUUUACUAUAGCUUGACACUGAACAUUGAGCCUUGAUGUGUAGGAUAGGUGGGAGGCUUUGAAGUGUGGACGCCAGUCUGCAUGGAGCCGACCUUGAAAUACCACCCUUUAAUGUUUGAUGUUCUAACGUGGACCCGUGAUCCGGGUUGCGGACAGUGUCUGGUGGGUAGUUUGACUGGGGCGGUCUCCUCCUAAAGAGUAACGGAGGAGCACGAAGGUUGGCUAAUCCUGGUCGGACAUCAGGAGGUUAGUGCAAUGGCAUAAGCCAGCUUGACUGCGAGCGUGACGGCGCGAGCAGGUGCGAAAGCAGGUCAUAGUGAUCCGGUGGUUCUGAAUGGAAGGGCCAUCGCUCAACGGAUAAAAGGUACUCCGGGGAUAACAGGCUGAUACCGCCCAAGAGUUCAUAUCGACGGCGGUGUUUGGCACCUCGAUGUCGGCUCAUCACAUCCUGGGGCUGAAGUAGGUCCCAAGGGUAUGGCUGUUCGCCAUUUAAAGUGGUACGCGAGCUGGGUUUAGAACGUCGUGAGACAGUUCGGUCCCUAUCUGCCGUGGGCGCUGGAGAACUGAGGGGGGCUGCUCCUAGUACGAGAGGACCGGAGUGGACGCAUCACUGGUGUUCGGGUUGUCAUGCCAAUGGCACUGCCCGGUAGCUAAAUGCGGAAGAGAUAAGUGCUGAAAGCAUCUAAGCACGAAACUUGCCCCGAGAUGAGUUCUCCCUGACCCUUUAAGGGUCCUGAAGGAACGUUGAAG